rnacentral:rRNA from 1 species
CGGAGGGCGUAGCGUUGUUCGGAAUUACUGGGCGUAAAGACGUACGUAGGCGGCUUUGUAAGUUAGAGGUGAAGACCUGGAGCUCAACUCCAGAACUGCCUUUAAGACUGCAUCGCUUGAAUCCAGGAGAGGUGAGUGGAAUUCCGAGUGUAGAGGUGAAAUUCGUAGAUAUUCGGAAGAACACCAGUGGCGAAGGCGGCUCACUGGACUGGUAUUGACGCUGAGGUACGAAAGCGUGGGGAGGCAAACAGGAUU